rnacentral:rRNA from 1 species
UACGUAGGGCGCGAGCGUUGUCCGGAAUUAUUGGGCGUAAAGAGCUCGUAGGCGGCCUGUUGCGUCCGCUGUGAAAUCCCAGGGCUUAACCCUGGGCGUGCAGUGGAUACGGGCAGGCUGGAGGCAGGCAGGGGAGAACGGAAUUCCCGGUGUAGCGGUGAAAUGCGCAGAUAUCGGGAGGAACAUCAGUGGCGAAGGCGGCCAUCUGGGACAACACUGACGCUGAAGCACGAAAGCGUGGGGAGCAAACAGG